CCUACGGGAGGCAGCAGUAGGGAAUCUUCCACAAUGGGCGAAAGCCUGAUGGAGCAACGCCGCGUGGGUGAAGAAGGUCUUCGGAUCGUAAAACCCUGUUGUUAGAGAAGAAAGUGCGUGAGAGUAACUGUUCACGUUUCGACGGUAUCUAACCAGAAAGCCACGGCUAACUACGUGCCAGCAGCCGCGGUAAUACGUAGGUGGCAAGCGUUAUCCGGAUUUAUUGGGCGUAAAGGGAACGCAGGCGGUCUUUUAAGUCUGAUGUGAAAGCCUUCGGCUUAACCGGAGUAGUGCAUUGGAAACUGGGAAACUUGAGUGCGGAAGAGGAGAGUGGAACUCCAUGUGUAGCGGUGAAAUGCGUAGAUAUAUGGAAGAACACCAGUGGCGAAAGCGGCUCUCUGGUCUGUAACUGACGCUGAGGUUCGAAAGCGUGGGUAGCGAACAGGAUUAGAUACCCGGGUAGUC
rnacentral:rRNA from 1 species